GACGAACGCUGGCGGCGUGCUUAACACAUGCGAGUCGAACGGAAAGGCCCUGCUUUUGUGGGGUGCUCGAGUGGCGAACGGGUGAGUAACACGUGAGUAACCUGCCCUUGACUUUGGGAUAACUUCAGGAAACUGGGGCUAAUACCGGAUAGGAGCUCCUGCUGCAUGGUGGGGGUUGGAAAGUUUCGGCGGUUGGGGAUGGACUCGCGGCUUACCAGCUUGUUGGUGGGGUAGUGGCUUACCAAGGCUUUGACGGGUAGCCGGCCUGAGAGGGUGACCGGCCACAUUGGGACUGAGAUACGGCCCAGACUCCUACGGGAGGCAGCAGUGGGGAAUAUUGCACAAUGGGCGGAAGCCUGAUGCAGCAACGCCGCGUGCGGGAUGACGGCCUUCGGGUUGUAAACCGCUUUCGCCUGUGACGAAGCGUGAGUGACGGUAAUGGGUAAAGAAGCACCGGCUAACUACGUG
rnacentral:rRNA from 1 species